ACAGCGGCCUUAAGAUUCUUGGUGCUUUUCUGCCAGGGAAUCUCCGGUCUGGCUUCCUUCUUGAGUCCAUAAUAGACGACUCUGCCUUCCGGGAGUUCCAAACGUGGGCCAAAAGGGGACCCAGACCUGUUUACUCUGCACCAAGAACUGCCACGCCGAGGAGCCGGCAAAACCGCUGUGCCGGCUACAAGAGUCGCGCUGGCGACCCAUGGAGCUCCUCCCCUGGGAAUCUCCUGGUCCGACAACCAAGUCCCU